rnacentral:rRNA from 1 species
GACGAACGCUGGCGGCGUGCUUAACACAUGCAAGUCGAACGGAAAGGCCCUGCUUUUGUUGGGUGCUCGAGUGGCGAACGGGUGAGUAACACGUGAGUAACCUGCCCUUGACUUUGGGAUAACUUCAGGAAACUGGGGCUAAUACCGGAUAGGAGCUCCUGCUGCAUGGUGGGGGUUGGAAAGUUUCGGCGGUUGGGGAUGGACUCGCGGCUUAUCAGCUUGUUGGUGGGGUAGUGGCUUACCAAGGCUUUGACGGGUAGCCGGCCUGAGAGGGUGACCGGACACAUUGGGACUGAGAUACGGCCCAGACUCCUACGGGAGGCAGCAGUGGGGAAUAUUGCACAAUGGGCGGAAGCCUGAUGCAGCAACGCCGCGUGCGGGAUGACGGCCUUCGGGUUGUAAACCGCUUUCGCCUGUGACGAAGCGUGAGUGACGGUAAUGGGUAAAGAAGCACCAGCUAACUACGUG